UACGGGGGGGGCAAGCGUUGUUCGGAAUUACUGGGCGUAAAGGGCGCGUAGGCGGUUGGAUAAGUCAGCUGGGAAAACCACGAGCUCAACUUGUGGCCUGCAGUUGAAACUGUCUGGCUAGAGUGUGGGAGAGGGAAGUGGAAUUCCUGGUGUAGCGGUGAAAUGCGUAGAUAUCAGGAGGAACACCGGUGGCGAAGGCGGCUUCCUGGACCACAACUGACGCUGAGGCGCGAAAGCUAGGGGAGCAAACAGG
rnacentral:rRNA from 1 species